rnacentral:rRNA from 1 species
GAUGAACGCUAGCUACAGGCUUAACACAUGCAAGUCGAGGGGAAACGAUAUUGGAAGCUUGCUUCCGAUAGGCGUCGACCGGCGCACGGGUGAGUAACGCGUAUCCAACCUGCCCAUCACUUGGGGAUAACCUUGCGAAAGUAAGACUAAUACCCAAUGACGUCUCUAGAAGACAUCUGAAAGAGAUUAAAGAUUUAUCGGUGAUGGAUGGGGCUGCGUCUGAUUAGCUUGUUGGCGGGGUAACGGCCCACCAAGGCGACGAUCAGUAGGGGUGCUUGGCUGAAAGUCCCCAACAUUGGAACUGAGAAACGGUCCAAACUCCUACGGGAGGCAGCAGUGAGGAAUAUUGGUCAAUUGGCGAGAGCCUGAACCAGCCAAGUAGCGUGCAGGAAGACGGCCCUAUGGGUUGUAAACUGCUUUUAUAAGGGAAUAAAGUGGGAGUAGUGACUCCUUUUGCAUGUACCUUAUGAAUAAGGACCGGCUAAUUCCGUGCCAGCCGCCGCCGUAA